AACGAACGCUGGCGGCAGGCCUAACACAUGCAAGUCGAGCGAGACCUUCGGGUCUAGCGGCGGACGGGUUAGUAACGCGUGGGAACGUGCCCUUCUCUGCGGAAUAGCCACUGGAAACGGUGAGUAAUACCGCAUACGCCCUUCGGGGGAAAGAUUUAUCGGAGAAGGAUCGGCCCGCGUUAGAUUAGAUAGUUGGUGGGUAACGGCCUACCAAGUCUACGAUCUAUAGCUGGUUUUAGAGGAUGAUCAGCAACACUGGGACUGAGACACGGCCCAGACUCCUACGGGAGGCAGCAGUGGGGAAUCUUAGACAAUGGGCGCAAGCCUGAUCUAGCCAUGCCGCGUGUGUGAUGAAGGUCUUAGGAUCGUAAAGCACCUUCGCCAGGGAUGAUAAUGACAGUACCUGGUAAAGAAACCCCGGCUAACUCCGUG
rnacentral:rRNA from 1 species